CUCUACAAGUGUGACAUCAGCGGUCAUGGAGAGUCUCCAUCCAGCUGGAUCACUGUCACAGACAAACACACCACCACACCUCCACCUACAUCCACCUCUCCUCCUGGUUCCACCUCCAUCACUCUUCCUCCAUCACUCUCUCCUGCUGUUCUCUCUGUGUUGUCAUGUGUUGGAUCAGUCUGUGUUGUGGUUCUACUGGUGUUACUGGUUCUGCUGGUGAGACAAUGUGUUCACAGGAAACCUGAAGCUGAAAAGGAGAAAACUUCAGAAGACAACAUCACAUAUAGUGAUGUCAAAAUAUCCAAUUGCCAACAACAGAUUGCCCAACAAAACAGAGAGAGUGAUCCGGCUGCAGUCUCUCCAGCAGUGAGAACAGACUACGUCACUUAUGGGCAAAUCAUCAUCAAAGACAAGAAAAAAAAGUCAGAGAGUGAUCCAGCUGCAGUGUACUCAGGAGUGAGAACAGAAGACAUCAAUUACGGACAAAUAGCCUUCAGACCAAAGAGGAAAAAAGACUUUAAACCAGAGCCAGACGUCGUCUACUCUUCACUGAAGUAGUCCACCAGUCCAACCACUGACGUCCAGCUGCUGGUCUCUAACUGGUCCACCCAGCACCACCACAGACACAUCCAUAUGUUGAAAAGAUUUCUUUUUGAUGUGUUGUGUCUUUUAUUUGACUUAUUACAUCCUCCUCCACUUACAAAUUCAGGGUUGCAGUGGGGCUGGAGCCUAUCCCAGCUGCUGUAGGACAAGACUCAGGGUACACUUUCAGCAGGUCCCCAGUCUUGCAGGGCUAACACAGAGAGAAUUCACACCUACGGCAAUUUAGAAUAAUCAAUUAACCUAACCCCACUAACUGAAUGUUUUUGGACUGAGGGAGGAAGCCAAAGUACCUGCAGAGACCCACACAAACACAAGGAGAACAUGCAAACUUCAACAUCAGCAAUAUUAAUAUAAAUAUUUUAAUAUAUCUUAUGUUGCCAGUAACUUUACUGUUAUUUCCUUUCUUGUUUGUUGGAUCCAGUAUUUGUUCUCAUGGCAGUGAUCUGGUUUCUUAUUAAACUUUUGUUCUCUUGUGUGUUUC